CGACCAUAUCACAUUGAAACACCGGUUCUCGUACUAUCACUGAAGUUAAGCAACGUCAAGCUUGGUCAGCACCUAGAUGGGUGACCACUGGGGGAUAUAAGGUACUGUAAG